GCUGGGUGUGGUGGCGUGUGCCUGUAAUCCCAGCUACUCUGGAGGCUGAGGCAGGAGAAUUGCUUGAACCCAGGAGGCAGAGGUUGCAGUGAGCUGAGAUCAUGCCACUGCACUCCAGCCUGGGUGACAGAGUGAGACUCUGUCUCCA
rnacentral:SRP_RNA from 1 species